GAUGAACGCUGGCGGCGUGCCUAACACAUGCAAGUCGAGCGAACCCUUCGGGGUGAGCGGCGGACGGGUGAGUAACGCGUGGGUAACCUGCCCUAUACACACGGAUAACGUACCGAAAGGUACGCUAAUACGGGAUAAAGUUGUUGGAUGGCAUCUUCUAACAAUCAAAGCUCCGGCGGUAUAGGAUGGACCCGCGUCUGAUUAGCUAGUUGGUGAGGUAAUGGCUCACCGAGGCGACGAUCAGUAGCCGACCGGAGAGGGUGAUCGGCCACACUGGAACUGAGACACGGUCCAGACUCCUACGGGAGGCAGCAGUGGGGAAUAUUGCACAAUGGGCGAAAGCCUGAUGCAGCAACGCCGCGUGAGCGAUGAAGGUCUUCGGAUCGUAAAGCUCUGUCCUCAAGGAAGAUAAUGACGGUACUUGAGGAGGAAGCCCCGGCUAACUACGUGCCAGCAGCCGCAGUAA
rnacentral:rRNA from 1 species